rnacentral:lncRNA from 10 species
CGCAGGUCCCAAGAACCAGGGAAGAUGUUCACACAAAAAUUUUUUUAUUUCCUUGUUUUAUUGGUGGGGAGAGGGAGCAUGGUUAGGUGGUAGGAAGCCCUCUGUCCUAGAAGCAAGUUCGAAAUUAUACAGAUGUAACCAGAUGCUCUCCUCAAAGUCUGCUGGGGAAAGCCAGGAUGGCUAUAGGCCUCAGAGCCCAUUCUGUUGGUGCUUAACCAUCUCACCCACAGCACACACUCAGCAGCCCAAGCACAGGGCUGUCAUUAUGGUACAAGAGUCACAAUAAGGCACAGGGAUUGGAUCACACCAGUCUAGCCACUUGGCAGGUCUAAGAUUGUGUCUCCCUCUUUAGAGACGGGCUUUAACCUGGGCUAAAGAAACCAACAGCCACAGAGCAAUGCCAGCUCUCACAUGACAUUCCCCAGCCAGGAAGGAGUCAGGACUAUUCUUCAACUGCCUGCCCUUCUCAUAAUGCCUCCUAAAUGCCUGGUGGGAUGCAGGCAUACACCCAGAAUACUGCACAUUACAAAUGUUAAUAAAAUCAUAUCUAGCCAGGUGCGGUGGCUCACGCCUGUAAUCCCAGCACUUUGGGAGGCCGAGGCAGGUGGAUCAUGAGGUCAGGAGUUUGAGACCAGCCUGGCCAACAUAGUGAAACCCCAUCUCUACUAAAAAUACAAAAAUCAGCCGGGUGUGGUGGCACAUGCCUGUAGUCCCAGCUACUCGGGAGGCUGAGGUGGGAAAAUCGCUUGAACCCGGGAGGUGGAGGUUGCAGUGAGUGGAGACCAUGCCAUUGCACUCCAGCCUGGGUGACAGAGUGAGACUGUCUGAAAAAAAAAAAAAUCGUAUCUAUUUUAAACAUACAUGCAGUACUCUCACAUACCCUACUGGUGGAAAUGUUAUUUGGUAUGCUUUAGGUAAACAUGGCAUAAAUCCAGAAAACUGCUCAGAUUCUUUGAUCCAGUUACCUAUUUCUAGGAAACUAGUCUGAAGAAAUAAUAAUAAUGCAAACCAAUAUUUAUGUAUAGGAAUAUAUCCAUCUCAACAUCAUUUGUAAUAAAUUUUAGGGACAACCUACCAAAUAUCCAGCACAGGGUGUUAGGUUAGCAAAUAAUGAACAUACGACUGUUAAUUAUUUAAAGCAUCUGAAUUAAGUGAAAAAACAGCGGGUGAGGUGUCUCACACCUGUAAUCCCAGCACUUUGGGGGGCAAGGCAGGCAGACCACCUGAGGUCGGGAGUUCAAGACCAGCCUGACCAACACGGAGAAACCCCAUCUCUACUAAAAAUACAAAAUGGGCCAAGUGUGGUGGUGCAUUCCUGUAAUCCCAACUACUUGGGAGGCUGAGGUAGGAGGAUCACUUGAACCCAGAAGGCGGAGGUCUCAGUGGGCCAAGAUUGCGCCACUGCACUCCAGCCUGGUUGACACAGCGAGACACCGUCUCUAAAUAAAUAAAUAAAUAAGAAAAAAAGAUAUAUUUAUUAAUUGUACAUGCUCUACAAUAUUUUUUAAAGAUGCACGGGAUAUUAAAUGACUGAUUUUAAAUGGAUGAUUUAAAAGUAUCA